rnacentral:sRNA from 1 species
GUUUUAAAGGAAACAGUGAAGGGCAUUCUGCACUCGAGCUUUGUGAAAUACUGUGCAGAUGCUCAUGGCUGUGGAUGCUGUGUGGUGUAAAGAACACUGCAGUUCAUUGAAUAUGGUGUGAGGAAUGCUGCUGUGCACUGACUGUGUGCUGUGAGGAAUGCUGCUGUGCACUGACUGUGUGCUGUGAGGAAUGCUGCUGUGCACUGACUGUGCUGUGAGGAAUGCUGCUGUGCACUGACUGUGUGCUGUGAGGAAUGCUGCUGUGCACUGACUGUGUGGUGUGAGGAAUGCUGCUGUGCAUUGACGCUGCCUUUUUUCUUUUCUCCCUACACCUGCAUCCUUCUGGUGGCUCAGGUUGGACAACUAGGUGCCCAUGACCAAGUCCUCAUUGAGGAUGGAUUUAGUCUGGUUGGACUUUCUCAGGAAAGGCAGCUGAACUCAUGACUAGUACCAGUUCCAUGGUUCCUGGAUGUUGCAAAUAAAGGCAUCCUCUCUCACUGCCUGUCCACCUUUCUUACCCAGUCAUUGUCCUCCAUGGUGCAGAGAGGUAAGAGCUAGUGACUCAAGCCAGGCUGGUCAAAGAAUGUAUAUAAAAGAUCACCCUAUU